UACAGAGGAUGCAAGCGUUAUCCGGAAUGAUUGGGCGUAAAGCGUCUGUAGGUGGCUUUUUAAGUCCGCCGUCAAAUCCCAGGGCUCAACUCUGGACAGGCGGUGGAAACUACCAAGCUGGAGUACGGUAGGGGCAGAGGGAAUUUCCGGUGGAGCGGUGAAAUGCGUAGAGAUCAGCAGGAACACCCGUGGCGAAGGCGGCCCCCUGGGCCGAACCUGACGCUGAGGCGCGAAGGCUAGGGGAGCGAACGGG
rnacentral:rRNA from 1 species